UACGUAGGGGGCAAGCGUUGUCCGGAUUUAUUGGGCGUAAAGAGCGUGUAGGCGGCCAAACAGGUCAGCUGUGAAAACUCGAGGCUCAACCUCGAGACGUCGGUUGAAACCGUUUGGCUAGAGUCCGGAAGAGGAGAGUGGAAUUCCCGGUGUAGCGGUGAAAUGCGCAGAUAUCGGGGAAGAACACCCGGUGGCGAAGGCGGCUCUCUGGGACGGUACU
rnacentral:rRNA from 1 species